UACGUAGGGUGCAAGCGUUAAUCGGAAUUACUGGGCGUAAAGCGUGCGCAGGCGGUUUUGUAAGUCAGAUGUGAAAUCCCCGGGCUUAACCUGGGAACUGCACUUGUGACUGCACAGCUGGAGUACGGCAGAGGGGGAUGGAAUUCCGCGUGUAGCAGUGAAAUGCGUAGAUAUGCGGAGGAACACCGAUGGCGAAGGCAGUCCCCUGGGCCUGUACUGACGCUCAUGCACGAAAGCGUGGGGAGCAAACAGG
rnacentral:rRNA from 1 species